rnacentral:rRNA from 1 species
GCAAGGAAUCUUGCGCAAUGGGCGAAAGCCUGACGCAGCAACGCCGCGUGGGGGAUGAAGGCCCUUGGGUCGUAAACCCCUUUUGUAGGGGAAGCAACUGACGGUACCCUGCGAACAAGCCACGGCUAACUACGUGCCAGCAGCCGCGGUAAUACGUAGGUGGCAAGCGUUGUCCGGAUUUACUGGGCGUAAAGCGCACGCAGGCGGCUCGCCAAGUCUAGGGUGAAAGCUCCCGGCUCAACCGGGAGAGGUCUCUAGAAACUGACGGGCUUGAGGGGAGCAGAGGAGAGUGGAAUUUCCGGUGUAGCGGUGAUAUGCGUAGAUAUCGGAAGGAACACCAGUGGCGAAGGCGGCUCUCUGGGCUCUCCCUGACGCUGAGGUGCGAAAGCGUGGGGAGCGAACCGG